UAAAAUCCAAAAAAAAAAAGGACCUAUACUACCUCCUCUGCCGACGCCUCGCACCCACCCUCGCAGACCCCCUCUGCCUCUCUCUCCCUCCUUUUCCUCCCUUCUCUUUCUCUCUCUCCCUCAUCUUCCUUGAUUUUUACAGGCUGAUCUACCAUAGCUUGGUGAAAUAAACACUUGGGUCCUUUUUUGUUAGAAAAUCAAUGAAACCCACAACCAAGAAAGAUCAUUUGCUUCAGUUUUUAAAAUAGAAGCUAAUCAUUUUUGUUGAAUUUCUGCACUCGUUUUUACCCAGAACCUGUCUCUGCAGCAUUGGAACCAAGAUCGGGCUUGGCAUAGUUGCAGUACACUUGGGUCCUUUUUUGUUUGACCAAAACCUGCAAAUCAUUUCCAUUUUAAAAGCUCAAGAAUUGGAGAAAGAUGUACUUGGUUCAUCAGCUAAUUCAUUCCCACUAGAGAAAAAACUAGGCAUUUUUGACAAAAUCUUUACUGCAUACCAUGAGGCAAGGAGCUGCAUUCGCAAUGACUUGGUAUGGAAGUUGCCCAAUAUUAGAACAUUUCUGUUUUGGAGAGAGGAGGGAGGAAGAGAAGGGUGAGAGAGGCAAAGAGUGGGUCUGCGAGGGUUGGAGGCACUGGCAGAGGAAGAACGCAGAUGGUACAGGUUUUUUUUUUUUCUUUGGAUUUUAAGUUUAAAAAUAGUUAUAAUAUAAUAUAUUUUAUUUAAAGCCACGUGGAUGUAUACUAUUGGAUGUGUGGGCUCCAUACACGUGCCACGUCAGCUACUUAACAGAAAAUUUGAUGGAAGCUAAUGGCAGGGACCAUUUUGAUGUGUGAAGGGUAACCUUAGGGAUCAUUAGUGUCAUAAAAAAAUGUUAGGGACGAAAUGC